AAGGCAUGGUGAGGACACUUUCUAAGCAUAUCCUUAAAUCUCUUCUAACUCUCAUAAAAAGAUUCUCCUUCUAACUGAGUAAAAAAAAUAAUAUUAUUUUAAGCUU